AAACUGGAGAGUUUGAUCCUGGCUCAGAUUGAACGCUGGCGGUAGGCCUAACACAUGCAAGUCGAACGGCAGCAGACCGUGACAAUCCCUUCGGGGUGCGUUUGGUGCUGGCGAGUGGCGGACGGGUGAGUAACACGUAGGAAUCUGCCAAACAGUGGGGGACAACCCGGAGAAAUCCGGGCUAAUACCGCAUACGCCCUACGGGGGAAAGCGGGGGACCUUCGGGCCUCGCGCUGUUUGAGGAGCCUGCGUCGGAUUAGCUUGUUGGUGAGGUAAAGGCUCACCAAGGCAACGAUCCGUAGCUGGUCUGAGAGGAUGAUCAGCCACACUGGGACUGAGACACGGCCCAGACU
rnacentral:rRNA from 1 species